UUAGUUUUGGCAGUACAGUUACUAAAAUUGGGAUGAUACAGAGAUUAGCAUGGCCUCUAUAUAAGGAUGACAGCCAAAUCUGUAAAGUGUUUCACAUUUUA
ensembl:snRNA U6 U6 spliceosomal RNA